UACGGAGGAUGCAAGCGUUAUCCGGAAUGAUUGGGCGUAAAGCGUCCGCAGGUGGCUAUGUAAGUCUGCUGUUAAAGAGUGAGGCUCAACCUCAUAAGAGCAGUGGAAACUACAUGGCUAGAGUGCGUUCGGGGCAGAGGGAAUUCCUGGUGUAGCGGUGAAAUGCGUAGAUAUCAGGAAGAACACCGGUGGCGAAAGCGCUCUGCUAGGCCGCAACUGACACUGAGGGACGAAAGCUAGGGGAGCGAGCAGG
rnacentral:rRNA from 1 species